UCUCUUAUCCUUUAUUUGUCCAAAAUCUUGCCUUAAAUAUUUCUCUAAAAAUCGACUGCCUCCAAAAAAUUUCACCGAAAGUUUCUUCCCUCUUUGCCGCUUCAAUCCGUGGCUACCAAACCUAAUUCCAAUUUAUUUAGCCACAAACUUUUUUGUAGAUCUGGUGGUUGCAAUUCCAAUUUCUUCAAUCGCAUAAUAUCGAUUUGGGUCAACAAAUUUCGGCUAAAUCUACUAUAGAUUUUGAGUUCUUCUUCAAGACGUAUUCAAGGUAUGACCAUCAAUCCUAUAUAUUUUUUUGGUUUAAAUCGAUGAAUUAGAAGUCUUGGGUGAACGGAUUUGAUUUAGUUUUAGCUUCCGGUGGAUGCUGGGGAUUUGAAGUCUUGUGGUUUUUUUCAAAUUUGAUUUGAUUUAGUUUUAUAUUUGUAUUUAGUUUAACGGCAACGUUUGAAACAUAGGUGAACAUAGUGUAUUCAUUUUUGGUUGCUGGUAUAAACUAUUGAAAAAUUCAUUAUUUUUUAUAUACCUGAAAAGAAUCAAUCUUGGUGUAAUAUUUGUGAUUUAUAUUUUGUUGUCUUUUAAUUCACUGUUUUUUCUAUGAUAGUUCUGAUUGUGAAAUUGAGCCUUUAACUUUUGUAUUUAUUAUAAGCAAGAUUGGAAUGCUGGAAUUCGUUCAGGAUUCGGGUACGUCGAAUCUCUGGUUAAAACAAUUUUUAUAAUGAAGGUACAGAAAAAAGUGAAAUAAUAAUAAGAGUUCCUGAGACACAAAUUCUAACAAACACCUCUUUUCUUAUGCACCAGAAUACUGGUUCCAACUACCUAUAUCCUUUUUGCCUCAGCUCUUCCAGUAAUUGCAUUUGGAGAGCAAAUAAGCAGAGAUACUGGUACACUUUUUAACUUAAGUUUGGGUAGAAAAACCCUGAACCCUGACUUGUCAUUAGCUGUCAAAGUGAUCAUGACCACACAAAACAUUAUUUCUGUUUAUAAAGGAUUACAAGUUUUGUACUGGUUUAUUGCUUAGGAUUGCAUAGGCUGUAGAACUUUGGUAUCAACUGCAAUUUGUGGUAAUGUAUAAUACACUUUAUAUUUGGUGGAUAAGCCUCCUUAUACAUACACUUAUACAUGUGCAGUUGCAGUCUAACUUAAAUGUGUUCUUACAUACUUCUAAUUUAUUUUAUUUCCAUUUUUUAGCAUUAAGUUUUGUUGCAUCAGCAUCUUAGUUUAUGAGGACAUGACAUUUGUUUGUUUGAACUUUGAAAUUCAGUUGUAUUUUUCCUUUCAGCAAUGUUAUAUUUUGGUAGUCGCUUUUUCGCACUUUGAUAUUUCAACUUAUGUAAAUAUCCAAAGUGUAUGGCUGUUGGAGCAAUCAUAUAGUGAUUGACUAUGAACUUAAAAAAAUGGCGUAUUUCUAAAGAAUGAUUCAUGAUAUGCGCAUAAAAGAUGGAAAAGCAACAUAUGUCUUCCUAUUGUUAUUGUUAUCAUUGAUGUUGCUUUAAAACUUCUGCAUAUAGUUUGGGCGUGUUAGAAUAGUUGAAUUGGAUUUGUUUCUAAAAUAAGCUAUUCAUAUGGAGUGGGAUAUUUCCUAAUUUUUCUGUCUAUUUUUAGGAUGAUAGGAUGGUUUGCUGUUAAGCUUUCUAGAAGUCAAUUCUUACAUUGUAUUUAUCUUUGUAAUUUCUACUUGGAACAGAAUUAGGUUUCAGUCUUCCCAAAUUUCACUUGGUAUCAAAGCCAUACUAGUUCUGUUUAUAAAGGAUUACAAGUUUUUUUCUGCCAUUUAUAGCAUUUGUAACAUUUGAUAAUCAUCUUGGAAUAUUUCCCAACAGGAGGGUACAACACCCUUGAACCUAUAUGUUCAGGAUGAAUUUCAUCGUUCUGCACAAGUGGGGGUUGGAGGUGUCAAAAGCAUUACAAAUUAUGCUCCGUUAAAAUAUAUGCUGGAUGAUCAUAAUAACCUCGUUUUGAAUCAUUGAACAGAGAAUGGAACAGAGGCUUCUCUGAUGUCUUAUACCUUGAUUCUAUGAAUAAGAGAUAUACUGAAGAGGCCUCUUCUUGUCCUGUCUUCAUUUCGAAGGUUUGAAGCACAUCUCUCAAUAUGUAGCAUCUUUUCUAGGUGUGGGUGUUGCCUGGAGGACUGCAAAUGCCGAAUCAGGAUCAACGAUUGUCAUCUUCGAGUUAGGAGCAAUAGGAUUAAUUUUAUGAUCUUCUACCUGAUAGAAUAGGAGGAUUUGCCGUCUAUCUAAUUCAUGAGGAUAAAGAUUUCUAUUUUUUAGGUGCAUAAUUAUAGAUAUAGAGCAUGCUUGCCAUGCUUUUUUAAAUUUAGAUGUAAUGAUACUUAGUAAAUGGUUUUUAUUUGUUGUUUGAUAAAAUAUUUUUGGAUUUGACGUUA